GACCUAAUAGCGAAAUCGGCAUCGCGUCCACUAUACUUGCAACUUUGAGCACGCAAGGAGUCAAAGUGGAAGUCCCUCGUUCGAACCGAGGUUAGGUCA